rnacentral:rRNA from 1 species
CCUGUUUGAUCCUGACAGUAACGAUACGCUUGUUUAAAGGACUAAGCCAUGCACGUCUAAGUAUACUUUUAUAUACGAGGGUUGACUGCGAAUGGCUCAUUACAACAGUAAUCAUCUAUUUGAUGGUAAAAACUACAUGGAUAACCGUAGUAAUUCUAGAGCUAAUACAUGCCAAAAACCCCGACUGUUUGGAAGGGGAGUAUUUAUUAGAUUCAAAAAUCAAGGCAGGGGGCAACUCCUGGAAAAUUGGUGAUUCAUGAUAACUUUUCGGACCACAUGGCCUAGUGCUGGUGGCGCAUCAUUCGAAUUUCUGCCCUAUCAACUUUCGAAGGUAGUAUAGAGGACUACCUUGGUAAUAACGGGUAACGGGGUUUUAGGGAACGACUCCGGAGAGUUUGCCUUAAAAAUGGCAAACACUUCCAAGGAAGGCAGCAGGCGCGCAAAUUACCCAAUCCGGAAUCCGGGAGGUAGUGACAAAAAAUAUCGACACAGGGUCCAAUAGGGCUUUGUGAUUGGAAUGGGCAAAAGUUAAAAUGCAUAGCGAAAGCCAUUGGAGGGCAAGUCUGGUGCCAGCAGCCGCGGUAAUUCCAGCUCCAAUAGCGUAUGUUAUAGUUGCUGUAGUUGAAAAGCUCGUAGUUGGAUUUCGUUUGCAGACAAGAACUUUUUUUACAAAAAGGACUUUUUCUUGUGAUUUCUCUAUACGUGUAAACGUGGGAUGGAUUACAAGACUGCAAAAUACUAAGCUAGAAGUUGGACAAAAAGGAUGGUUAAUUCGACUCUUUUUGAUUUGUGUAAAAAGCAAAUGGAUUAUUCCGAGUCAAAUUGGAAGAAUGGUCUACUUCUUUGUUUACUGUGAGUAAAUUAGAGUGUUUCAAGCAGUCCAAAUAGGACAUUGCAUACAAUUAGCAUGGGAUAAUGGAAUAGGACUUGGGUUCUUUUUUCAUUGGUUUUAAAAAUAUACAAGGGCCAGAGUAAUGAUUAAAAGGGACAGUCGGGGGUAUUGGUAUUUUGAUGUCAGAGGUGAAAUUCUAAGAUUUUCAAAAGACUAACAGGUGCGAAAGCAUUUGCCAAGGAUGUUUUCAUUAAUCAAGAACGAAAGUUGGGGGAUCGAAGACGAUUAGAUACCGUCGUAGUCUUAACUAUAAACGAUGCCGACCAGAGAUCAGAGGAUGUUGAAUGGAAGACACUUUUGGAAUCUUGAGCGAAAGCACAAGUUUUGGGUUCUGGGGGGAGUAUGGUCGCAAGACUGAAACUUAAAGGAAUUGACAGGAGGGUACACCAGGUGUGGAGUUUGCGGCUCAAUUUAACGCAACACAGGAAAACUCACCAGGGCAAGACAUUGUAAGGAUUGACAGAUUGAUAGCUCUUUCUUGAUUCGAUGGGUGGUGGUGCAUGGCCGUUCUUAGUUGGUGGAGUGAUUUGUCUGGUUUAUUCCGAUAACGAACGAGAUCUCAUCUUAUUAAAUAGAGGUAUACAAAUGGGUAU